AUAUAGCACCUCUAGCCGCUGUUGAGCUUUCUUGCAUUCGACGCGUUGGCCCAAUUGAUUGAUGGUGCUUGCACCUGAUUGAUUUUGGUCGCCAACGAGUGGCGGACGGGUGAGUAACACGUAGGUAACCUGCCCAGAAGCGGGGGACAACAUUUGGAAACAGAUGCUAAUACCGCAUAACAACGUUGUUCGCAUGAACAACGCUUAAAAGAUGGCUUCUCGCUAUCACUUCUGGAUGGACCUGCGGUGCAUUAGCUUGUUGGUGGGGUAACGGCCUACCAAGGCGAUGAUGCAUAGCCGAGUUGAGAGACUGAUCGGCCACAAUGGGACUGAGACACGGCCCAUACUCCUACGGGAGGCAGCAGUAGGGAAUCUUCCACAAUGGGCGCAAGCCUGAUGGAGCAACACCGCGUGAGUGAAGAAGGGUUUCGGCUCGUAAAGCUCUGUUGUUAAAGAAGAACACGUAUGAGAGUAACUGUUCAUACGUUGACGGUAUUUAACCAGAAAGUCACGGCUAACUACGUGCCAGCAGCCGCGGUAAUACGUAGGUGGCAAGCGUUAUCCGGAUUUAUUGGGCGUAAAGAGAGUGCAGGCGGUUUUCUAAGUCUGAUGUGAAAGCCUUCGGCUUAACCGGAGAAGUGCAUCGGAAACUGGAUAACUUGAGUGCAGAAGAGGGUAGUGGAACUCCAUGUGUAGCGGUGGAAUGCGUAGAUAUAUGGAAGAACACCAGUGGCGAAAGGCGGCUACCUGGUCUGCAACUGACGCUGAGACUCGAAAGCAUGGGUAGCGAACAGGAUUAGAUACCCUGGUAGUUCAUGCCGUAAACGAUGAGUGCUAGGUGUUGGAGGGUUUCCGGCCCUUCCAUGGCCGGGAGCUAAACGCAUUUAAAGGCACUUCCGCGCCCUGAG
rnacentral:rRNA from 1 species